ensembl:snoRNA SNORA70 Small nucleolar RNA SNORA70
CUGCAGCCAAUUAAGCCGACUGUGCUCUUUCUCCAUGGGAGCCCAGUGUGCCAUGGCUGCAAACAGUAGGCUCCUUGGUAGUAUAUGCAGUCUGUUGAUUGUGUGGGUUGCCCUAAGGGACCCUGGAGACAGCC